AUUGAACGCUGGCGGCAUGCCUUACACAUGCAAGUCGAACGGCAGCACGGGAGCUUGCUCCUGGUGGCGAGUGGCGAACGGGUGAGUAAUAUAUCGGAACGUACCCUAGAGUGGGGGAUAACGCAGCGAAAGUUGCGCUAAUACCGCAUACGAUCUACGGAUGAAAGUGGGGGAUCGCAAGACCUCAUGCUCAUGGAGCGGCCGAUAUCUGAUUAGCUAGUUGGUGGGGUAAAGGCCUACCAAGGCUUCGAUCAGUAGCUGGUCUGAGAGGACGACCAGCCACACUGGAACUGAGACACGGUCCAGACUCCUACGGGAGGCAGCAGUGGGGAAUUUUGGACAAUGGGCGAAAGCCUGAUCCAGCAAUGCCGCGUGAGUGAAGAAGGCCUCGGGUUGUAAG
rnacentral:rRNA from 1 species